AAUAGUUGAAAUUACUUUCUUGGUUUCAGUGUUGUUUUUUUUAAGGUUAUUCAUUAAAAAGUGCAAAACCUAUUUAAAGAAUGCAAUUUAUCUCAGUGAUGAAUAUGGAAUAUAGUUAACGUUCUAUUGAUUAGUAUAUAUGUAUAAUAUAAUGUAUAAUGAGGAUAAUUAGUGAGAGAUAUUGUUGUGAGAAUAAUUCUAUAUAUAGAUUAGGGACAUAAAAACUCUUUUUGGGUUUUUGAAUCAUAGCAUUUAGAAAUUAUUAUUAGUGAAAUUAUUGUUUAAUCAACAAAGCCAUAGAAAUUAAUGCAGAAAAAGAAGGACAGUAUUGGAUCAGUGAUUACCACUGAUGGUGUUUGUGUCAUAUACGAUGAAUACGUGUCUGGAACUCUGAGGUCCAACAUGAAGGAAAUCUAGGUCCUUACCUCUCUUUGAUUGACCCUUUAAACUGAUGUCAGAAAUGUACAAGGAAAAAUAAUAUGAUAAUUUGGAAUGGACAAUAAAUGGAUCCCAUGUAUUUUGUUCUGUGUCUUUGACGAAAGGAUAAUAAUGGAACAUUAUAAGGAACAGUCAGUUCUUACUGUGAGUCAGUUUCAACUUUGACAUUUGAUUUCUGAAGGAAAAAAUUAAUGUAAUUUAAUAAAUACCUGAAUGACUAUAUAAAUGAAUGGGGUAAUCUAUGGAUCAGUGAAUAGGAUGUCUGAAUUUUUUUAUCGUCUGCCCUGCUCUGCUCUUUAUUCCUCAGAAUGGAUGCACUCAAGCUUCUUUAAGCAUGUUCCAUGGUCAUGAUCUUUAUGUUUGCACCUGUGUGUUAGGAGCAUGGAGACCAAUGUGAGUAAUAGUCGAAGUUCUCAUGUUGGUUUGAGUGGUUCAAAGAAGGCCAAUCAUACCAAUGUUUAAUAUCAGAUUGAUAUGAAGCAUUGCAUUGAUUAACCCAUAAAGAAACAGACACUGAGUUCAGUUAAUGAAAAGGAUAGAGACUCUUUGUAAAUGAUGCUAUUGGUGAAUAUUAGGGAUAUUGAAGGAUCUUGUUUUUUUUUUAUGUGUAUUUCUUCAUGAAUAAAUUAACCAAUAAAGAAAUGUAGAUGAGAAUGGACAGAAAGAAGGCCAAUCAGGGGCCAGUGAUGACGACUGGUGGUGAAGAAUGUCAGCGUGGAGCUCUGAGGGCCAACACAGACAGACUCUAGUCCAUUCCCCAGAUUUUAAAUGAUACUAUAGACAGAUUUCAGGAUUAUAUAGUGAUCUUGUUCUUGGUCUUUGUGUUCAUGAAUUUUAAAUAUAUGAUUAUAAAAGAACCAACGGCAGAAUAAAUUAGCAAAUGUAUAAAUGAAUAAAGAUGAAGAGGGUGUAGCAUUGUUCAUUACUGAAAUACGUAGUCAGGAGAAUGAAUAUUGAUAGACACUGGAAUGAUACUAAAGGGACCGGGUGUGUUAAGUAUUGGACUAAGGAUGAUAUGGACAGUGAGAGGGAGUAGUCAGUUAUUGCCCUGACUCAGUUACAAGUUUUAAGUUUAUUUCGUAAAGAGAAAAACCGAUUUUAUCUUAAAUUUAUAAAUACUUAAAUGACUGUGUAAAUGGGGUAUGGAAAUUAUAGAUCAAUGGAGAGAGCGUCUCAAUCUUUUUAACAUCUUUUCUGUGUGAUACUCUAAAAACAACGCACCCAGCUGAUUUAAGCCUUGUUCCAUGAUCAAAAUCGUUAUGUUGCCUCUGUUUCAGAAAGACACCAAGGUUAGUAAUAGUCAAGGUUCUUGUCUUGGUUUCAGUCAUUUGCUUAAGGUAUUCAUGGUAAUAUUAAAAAGUAUUAAGUAUAAUACACAAGUUAUCUAUGGCCAUUGGUUAAUACGGUAAGAAGCAUGAUAUUAAUUAAUUGAUAACGUGCAACAUUGAAGUCACUUAAUGAAAAAGAUACAGUGUAUUAGGAAAGAUUCCUAUCCAGGGGUGUUAGGGAUUUUCAAGGAUCUUGUUCUCGCAUUUUUGUGACUCACGUAUAUUUUAGUAUUAUUAGUGAAUUAGUGAUUUACUUGAUGCAAAUUUAGAAAUGAAUGAAGAAGAAGAGGGCCUCACAUAGACCAGUGGUGACUACUGGUGGCAUAUAAGUCAUAGACAUGAAUAAUAUGUGUCUGGAAGUCUGAGGUCCAACACAAACCAUAAGUAGCCUGUUUUUUCUGUUGGAAAUGAUCCUAUAGACAGAAAUCAGAAAUGUACAAAGCUCAUAUUUUUACUUUGGAUUCAUAAAUAUAGAUUUAUUAAUACUAAUGGAUCAGUGAUAGAAUAAUUAAACAAAUAAAAAUAAACAGGUAAAGAGGAGGAUUAGGCGUUGACCAACUAUGAACAUAUGAGAGGAGGCAAAAAAUAUCAUUAAUGAAAGUUUAAAACACCGAUGCCCGUGAAGGUAUAAAUGGAUCAAGAAUUGUACCUCUUUGGUUUAGGAUCAUAUAGACUCUGAUAAGUAAAAGUCAAUUUUAUUGUACUGGAUCAGUUGCAAGUUUCAGGCUGUCCUUUUGUUAAGAGAAAAAAAUAUAUACAUAAUGAAAAAUGAUUAAAUACCUAAAGGCUUGAGUAAAUGAAAUGCAGAAAGCGAGAAUCGUAGAGGAUAUGGUCUCAAUUUUUGAAAAUCAUUUGCUCUGUGUUGUACUGCUUAGAGUGGACGCAAUCGAUGAUUUAAGCAUCUUCCAUGGUCACGAGCUCUCUGUUUACAUCUAUUUGUUAGAAGGACAGAGACCACGUGAGUAAUAGUCAAAGUUCUUUUCUUGGAUUGGGUGGUUUGUUUAAGGCUAUUCAGUAUACUGUUAACAUUGUAAAAUAUAAUCAAAGAUAGCCAAUUGUGAUAAAAAUGGGAUUGGUGUGAAGCAUCGUUUAUAAUGUGCAUCUCUGAAAAUCUGAGGAUAAUUAAUGAAAUAAAUAUAUUGAUGUUAGAAUAAUUUUGUGUGUAGAAUCGGAAUAUUAAGCCUCCUCUUGGGUUUUUGUGUAUCAUGGCAUUUAAAAUUAUUAUUAAUCAAUAAACAAUGAAGAAACAAAUGGGGAAACAGAGGGCCAAUCGUGAUCAAUGAUGAUGAUUUGGUGGUGCAUGAGUCACAUACAAUGAAUACUAUGUGUCUGGAACUCUUGAGGUCCAACACAAGAGGACUCUAGUCCAUUCACUUUAUUUUAAGUGAUACUGUAGACAGAUUUCAGUUUUACAUAGUGAUCUUUUUCUUGGUCUUUCUGUUUAUGAAUUUUAAACAUGAUUAUAAAAUAACGAAUGGCAGAAUAAAUUAGGAAAUGUAUAAAUGAAUAAAGAUGAAGAGGGUGAAGCAUUGUUCAUUAGUAAAAUGUGUAGUCAGGAAAAUGAAUAUUAAUAUACACUGGAAUGGAUAAUAAAUGGACCGAGUGUAUUAAGUAUUGGACUAAGGAUGAUAUGGACAGUGAUAGGGAGUAGUCAGUUAUCGCCCUGAGUCAGUUACAAGUUUGAUGUUUAUUACAUUGAGAUAAACAUUUAUUACCAUAAAUUAAGAAGUGACAGAAAAUAAAUAUUACCAUAAAUUAAUAAACACUUAAAUGACUAUGAACGUGAAGGAUGUGGAUCAACGGAGUUAAUGUCUCAAUCUUUUGAUCAUUAUGCCUGCUUGGCACUCUUCAUAAUGGAGGCGGGUAGCUGAUUUUAGCUUCUGCCCUGAUCAAGAUUGUCGCCUCUGUCAGGAGCGAGAAUAAGAAUGGACACACUGGAGCUGAUGUAAGCAUCUUCCAAGUCAGGAACUCUCUGGUUGUGUCUGUGAGUUAGGAGCAUGGAGACUAAUAAUGGAUACACUGGAGCUGACUGAAGCAUCUUCUAUGGUCUUGAGCUCGUGGUCACAUCUAUUUGUUAGGAGGCUGGAGACCCGUAAUGGGCACACUUGAGCUGAUUCAAGCGUCUUCCAUAAUAACGAUCAUUUUGUUUACAUCUAUGCGUUAUGAGCAUGGAGACCAAUGUGUGAAUUAAGAAAGUGAGGGCCAAGGCUGGAUCAGUGAUGACCACUGGUGGCGUAUGAGUCACGGACGAUGACUACCACAUGUCUGGAACUCUGAGGUCCAAUACGUGGGCACCGCUGCACUGAUCUUAGCGUUCGCCAUGGCUUCCAACUUGGUGGUUGUCUUAGGAGCAUGGAGACCAGUAAUGGGUCCUCAUGGUCGAAGGUCUUGUCUGGUGCGUGUCUGGGCAGGAAGCCUAUAGAGCUAUAAUGAACACCCUCGAACGCACGAUCGUUCUUUAGUGAUCAGACCUUUAUGGUUCAAUGAUGGAUGCUCCAUACCUAAUUAAAUUAUUGUCCAAUCAGGAAGAUCUUUGCCUUAUCCCUCUGGGCAGGGAGCAUAUCAUGCUAUAAUGGCUGCCCCUUGGCUGUUUCAAUCAUUAUUUAAUGAUGAAGAUCUUGACUGUUAUCUGUGUGGCCAAGGAGAAUAUAGAUCAGGCGAGUGGGCCUGCUUCUUGCCUUGCCAAGCAAACUGAGUCCCUCCUGGGUCUAGCUGUGGGACUCUGGGGUGGAUGUGAAGCACCUCUGGCUGUACAGCUCCAGCUUCGUCAGUGAGAUGAGGAUAACGAUGCCUAUCUGGCUGGAUUGUGGUGAGAAUUAAACUUGCCUAACAAGAGCUUAUUGUAAGGCCCUUACGUGACACAAUACAUAUCAUGUACAUAGUAUGGUACCUGGGAAGGAAUAGAUGCCUCAAAAAUUACCCAAAGUAGCUGUAAUUGAUGGUUUCAAUUGCAUUUAUUUAAAAGCUCCCGAAUGGAUGUGAUACCCAAAUUCCUCUGUUCCAGAAGAAUGGAGAGUUCAACUAAGUUCUGGAAGAAUGCCAGUUUUGAUGGGACAGGCCAGCCUAGACCACGCACCUUUAAGGCAGCAUAACCUCCCCUUCUACCAGGGACAGACAACGAGAAAACCCCUCCUUCAUGAGGAUUUGAUUUCAGCUCAAACCAUUGGCCUUUCUACUUCAGACUGAAUCAGGUCCUUCUGCAUGGAGCCUGGAGCCGUGAGGCGUGGUUGCUCCAGGACAAGGCUUCCUGAAGACACCUCUGAUGGGUGGAGCCCUGGCUUCGCUGGGUGAGUUAUGCUUCUCCUGGUCACACUCUCAAUGGCGUGUGUGCCUGUGACUAAGUCUAGAUGACGUAAAGACUACAGACAAUCAAAGAUGGGCUGGAGCGUGGGUGAAGGCCUCACAGGGGCCUGAGUGCGGGCACUGCCCACCUGGAGCAUUGGCAGGCAGAGGCCAGGCCAUUUCUGGCAGCUGCUUCUCUGAGUGGAGGGCAGGGCUAGCCAGAGAAGUCACUUGAAAGUUGCCCAAGGUGUCACUAGUGAAAGGGCAAGCUCAGCACGGGCUCGACCCCGGAUAGUUGACCCUUGUCUCUGGUCCCACCCAAGCGGCUCGCAGCUGACCCAUCACUAGCGUCCUUUUUGGCAGCUUGGGUUGGGGCUCAGGGUUACCUUCUCACCUCUGCUCCAAGUGAGUCCGUUAAUUUAUGCAGAUAAUUACAGUCUGUUAACUCAUUACCGUAAUGGACAAUGUGAUAAGUGGAAGCCAUCUGAGUUUUUCCUGUAAAAGACCCUAAACUAAUAACUAAAAUUUAUUGCACGUAAUAGUUCUAAAAAGGAAUAUUUUUCUUCAUUAAAAAGGAAAUACAUGUUUAUUGUAAAAGUUUGUAAAAUGCUGAAAAGAACAAAAGGAAGAAUAGGAUUGACCCUAGUCCCACCACUCGAGGAUGACCACUGCCAACAUUUGGUGACCAACCUCUGGUUUUUUGUUUUCUUCUAUAAUCACAUAAAUGUCUGUGUGUGUGUGUGUGUGUGUGUGUGUAUACACAUAUGUAUGUUUUUUAAUGGGCUCAUCAUUAUCAUCCUAAUUUUUUCACCUAAUUACAUAUCUUGAAUGUUUUCACAUGUCAUUAAGUAAUUUCCUAUCUUGUGAUGUUUUAAUGGUUAUAUAGUAUCCUAGCAAAUGACUACAUCAUAAUUGAUUUAAUUGGUCCACUCUUAACCAGGUGUUUAGAUAAUUUUAAAAGUUGGAUUGUGUGAAUUGGGGUGAGCAUCUUUGUUUAUUCAUCUUCACAUGUGUCUCUGAUGUGUCUCCUGCAGUUUCUUUCUAAAAGUGGAAUGGCCAUGUCAAAGGCUGUGAGCAUUUUUACGGCCAAGUUGUUCUCCUUAACCUUUCCACCACCUUGCUUUCUCAGAAUUAGUUUAAGAAGUGCCUUUUUCUCUGGGAAUUAUCAAGGUUUUUAACAUUUGCCAAUUUGUCAAAGCAUGGCAUUUCAUUCUUUUCAUUUCAGUUGUUAUUACCCGUGAUAAGAGCAUUUCCUUCAUAUCUUUAUUGGUUCUUUGCAUCUGAAUUGCCAGUUCAGAUUCUUUGCAUUAUCCAUUUAGUUUUAUUUUUGUCAAAGUCAUGCAGAUACAUCAUUUUAAGAGUCAAAUAGUUCUACGAGGUUAGUGCCGAAGCCUCGGUCCUCAGCCCUGCUCCUCCGUCCCGUGACCCGCUCCACUGAACCGACAGCUUUGAACUCUUGGAACUGAUUCUCUUGACAUUUACAUCCAUUUUUCUAAGUAACAUCUUAGUUUUCUACGUCUCAGUUUUGUUCUAGCGUAAGGCAUUGUCUUGACUUCUCAUCCAUAGAAGAUGAGGAUUUAACUCUGUCACAUAUGCCCUUGGCCUCCCCACACACAAGCAGACCUCUGUGCCGCAUCCUCUCAAUAUAUUUAGCUCGUAGCUUUAGUUUGAUCAGUAUUCAGUGUUCACGUUACUAUAACAGUGUAAACACGCUUGACGCCUGACCAACAGCACUAUGAUUCUUUACCUCUCCUUCCCAACUUUCUGUUUGCUCUGGAGUUAAUAAUUACCUUGUGUUUUGUUUGUUUCUUUUUUCAUUCUUUCUUUGAUUGAUUUGUUAGUUUCUAAUGAAAUUUUCACAGAUUUCUCCCAAACCUCUCAACACAUUCAAACACAUUAGUGUUUUCUUUUUUUUUAAUGUGUUUAAUCUUUUUGAAAAAAUCUCUUCCUGGAGCCUUCUUGCCUGUUUUCUUCUGGAUUGGUUGAUCUUUGGGUUUCCUGUCCUCAUCUUGGGAUCCUCCCUCAUUCUUUUCCCGAGGAUUCCCUUGACCCUCUCCUUGGUUGGAUCUCGAAUUCUGUAAAACCUGUGUAAGCUUUUUUGGUUUACUCCGCUGUUUUGCUAGAGUGCAUCCUCUAGUAGUUUCCUAAGGGGUUCGUGGGAGGUAAAUUCUUGGAGAUCUUUCACAUCUGAAGAGGAAAACGUGUCCACACUGAUGGUGAUAGUUUGGCUGGUAUAGAAUUCUGUUUGGUAAUCGUUUUUCCCCUCAGAUUUCGAAAGUGUGAGUAAUUGUCUUCUCACUUCUAGUGCUGUUGAUGAGCAGUCUGAAGUCUCUGUGAUUCCUCAUCCCUUGUCUGUGCUCUUUUUCCUCCCCUUCCAGAACUUGUAGGAUUUUCUCAUUGUCUUCUAGUGUUUUAAAUUUCAUGUGCAUGGUUCUUGAUAUGGAUCUCCGUUCAUCCAUUUUACCAGGCCCUUUUGAUCUGAAAACUUGUGUCCUUCAGUUUUGGACAUUUUUUUUGCACAGUUGCUUGGCUAACGUCCUUUCACCUAUUUUCUCUUUCUGGAACUUAGAUUGUUUGUGUGUUGGAUCUCUCUGGUUCUUUAAUAUUCCCAUAAUUUUCCUCUGAUUUUCAACUCUUCAUUUCUUCUCUUCCUGAGCGAUAUCUGUCUUCAUUGACUUUUAACCUAUUUUCAUUUCUGCAAUCUCUAAUUUUCAAGGUUUUUAUUAUAUUUUAAAUGUUAUUUUAUAGUGUUUUAUUCAUGGAUGCAGUUGCUUCUUAUAUCCCUGAUAAUAUUAGGUUUUCUGAAAUUUUCUGUUUUUUUAUGGAGUCUGCAAGGUUUUUUUUUUUCUCCCAAGUGUGUGUAUGUCUCUAACUUCUAUGUUGCUUUUCUUAACUCUCUGGUGAUAUAGGUAGAUAUGGAGAUAGAUGAUGGAGAUAGGGCUAUGGAGGAUUUGGGUGCAUAUAGUACACACAGACAAGCACACUCACGAGCUGUUGGGAAGCUCUUGUAUGGCCUUGCGAGCUCUGGCUUUACUGUAGAGUGAGCUGGCUGGACUUACUAUUGUGGAACCCCAGGUUUUAGCAUUUUUAAAUCUUUUUCUUUUGGAUAGCUCAGAUGCUCGCUUUAAAGAAGGUUUUUCACUUUCUGGUGUGGAGUAUUUUCUGCUGCUGGUGCUCUGGAGGUUUGUGGAGGAAGACCAGGUGGUCUCAAUGUCCAGCUUGUAAAACUUUGCCAUCUUCAUCCUUUUAAUUUAAAACUCUUGCCCUCAGCCCUGCCUGCAUCUCUGCUGCAGUCACCUCUGCUCCACUGUCUCCAUGUAAUACACCUUCAGUCUUCUCUCAGAGUUGGGGAACGCUCUGGCCAAUGGGUGAGGAUCUGGGGAGCUGCCUUCUUAAAGACACUUUCAGCCAAUUCAUCCUAUUUAGACCCAGAUUUUCCUGCCACAUCAAAGUACCUGUCACUUCCUGAGACUUCUGUGGAUUCCAUGGAAUACACCGGACUUUAUUUCAGCUUUCCUUGCUGCUGGUUUAGGAUUCCUAGCUCUGAAUCACGCCUCUCUUCUUGUCUUUGUUCCUCUGUACUUAGACCCAAAAUGAAAAUCUCUUCACUCUCAGCACAGUGUCAAGAGGGCGAGCAGGUGCACAACUGAUCUCAAUUUCCCACAUUCAUUUAAACUGGAAGUCAUUUAACCAUUUCUCUUUAUUGAUAUGUUCAUCUUUUAUUUUCAUUUGGUAAGACCUUUUAAAAUAAGAAUAGUAACUCUUUUUCUCUCAUAUAUUACCAAUUUCCCCCCACUUUUCAUUUGCCAUUCCAUUUGUUUGUGGAGCUUUUAAUUUUUUUAUUUAAAAAAGCUUUAUGUUCUAAAAUCGAUCGCUAAUUUUUAAUAGAGUUUCUUCUUGGUUAGAACGUCCUUUUCUACUCUGAGCUCAUAUGGUCACUUUUUUUUUCCCCAGUUCUUUCCUGAUUUUAUCUUUUAUAUUUGAACCUUUAAUCCAUUAACUUAAUUAUUGUGACAAAUAACUGUCUGUCCCAUUUCCACAUUUAGUACAUGCUAGAUACUUAUAUGCUUUUGUUUCUUGUUGUGCCUUUCUAUAUUCCAUUAAUCUGUCUAUUCUUACCCCUGUGCUGCUUUGUUUUAACAUAUUGAAUUGUUACAAUGUGUAUUAUUGUUUAGUAGCAGUUGUCUUCCUCCCUUCUUACUUUUCAACAUUUUCUUGAUUAGUCUCACUUGUUUAUUCUUCCUGAUGAAUUUUAGCGCUAUUGUGAAUUUUAAAACAUUCUUUAUAAAUUUUCUGUGGAAUUUUUUAAAAUGGUAAAUUAAAGGGAACUGAUGUUUUUUGAUAUUUGGACUUUGCCUGAUAUUUUGCAGUUUAAUAUACAUAUUCACAAUUUGUCAAAUUUGACAAAUUCGCAGUUUGUCAUUAAGCUUAUUUCAAGAAAUUUAAGUAUUGCUUUGAUUGUGAAUUUAUUCCCUUUUCUUAUAUUUUCCAACUGGUUAUUACUGGUAUGUAGGGGGAGGGAUUAUAUAUUUACUGUUAUGGGCUGCCUCGUUGAAU